GAUGAACGCUAGCGGCAGGCCUAAUACAUGCAAGUCGGACGGGAUUGAGAAGCUUGCUUUUCAUGAGAGUGGCGCACGGGUGCGUAACACGUAUGUAACCUACCCAUAUCAGGGGGAUAGCCUCUCGAAAGAGAGAUUAAGACCGCAUAACAUUAUUGAAUGGCAUCAUUUAAUAAUCAAAUAUUUAUAGGAUAUGGAUGGGCAUGCGGAACAUUAGCUAGUUGGUAAGGUAACGGCUUACCAAGGCUACGAUGUUUAGGGGAACUGAGAGGAUGACCCCCCACACUGGUACUGAGACACGGACCAGACUCCUACGGGAGGCAGCAGUAAGGAAUAUUGGUCAAUGGACGGAAGUCUGAACCAGCCAUGCCGCGUGCAGGAAGACGGCCCUAUGGGUUGUAAACUGCUUUUGCAGGUGAAUAAACCUCGAUACGUGUAUCGAGCUGAAUGUACUCUGAGAAUAAGGAUCGGCUAACUCCGUGCCAGCCGCCGCAGUAA
rnacentral:rRNA from 1 species